GGGGUAUGGAAAACAGGCUCUUAAGUAUAAUGUUUAUUGUUAUGAAAGUGUAACUUGGUACUCAAUCUCCAUAGAUGCCAGUACAGCAAUAUCUAUUUAAAAUAAAAAUCCAUAUAUUCUUUGAUCCAACAGUUGCACUUCUAGGAAUUUAUUCUACAGAAAUAUUUAACCAUGUGUGAAAUAACAUGUGUAAAAAUAUUCGUAGAACAUUGAAAUUGUAAAAGAUUGGAAAGAUCCUAAAUGUCUGUCAACAAGUUGGAAACAAUUUAAAGUACAAGAAAAAGAGUUACUGGAAAAAUACACCUAUGUACACACAACAUAUAUACAUAUCUUAAUGCUUAUAAUGAAGUAUCUCUGGAAAAAUAAGCAAGAAACUGGCCUCCAGAAAAGCAUCCUUUUAUCAAGAAUGCCAAACCUGUAUCAAUAUUAAGAGACCUGAUCACAGAAGCUAUGGAGAUCAAAGCUAAAAGACAUGAGGAACAGCAACGAGAAUUGGAAGAGGAAGAAGAA
rnacentral:lncRNA from 10 species